rnacentral:rRNA from 1 species
ACACGACUCUCGGCAACGGAUAUCUCGGCUCUCGCAUCGAUGAAGAACGUAGCGAAAUGCGAUACCUGGUGUGAAUUGCAGAAUCCCGCGAACCAUCGAGUCUUUGAACGCAAGUUGCGCCCGAGGCCWCUUGGCCGAGGGCACGCCUGCCUGGGCGUCACGCC